UAUAAUAAUGUACCAGUAAACGACACUGAAUUUUUUCUUUAAAAGAAAUAUACUGACAUCCCAAUCUAUUCUUCCUUGCCAAUUAUGUCAACCCAACGUUUGCCCUUAAGCUCGGCAAGAAUCUCUUGCUUAAUCUUGUGAGCAAUUACAGGACCAUCAUAUCCCAAAGCAGUAUAAACUUGAACCAUAGUUGCACCAGCACGAGCAUACUCAAUAGCAUCUUUGCCAGAAGAAAUACCACCACAGCCGAUGAUGGGAAUAUCGGAAGAAAGAUGCUUACGAAGUGUGCGAAGAGUAUUUAAUGCGAUAGGUUUGAGAGGAGGUCCAGAAAGACCACCCGUCUCUUCAACAUGGCUAGUUGAUUUGAGGGUCUUAGGGCGUUGAACGGUAGUAUUACCAACGAUCACACCGUCAAUCUUGCACUUUUUGAGGACAUCGGCAAUGUCCGUGAGUUCUUCUUCGUUCAAAUCAGGUGCAAUUUUUACAAGUACGGGAGGAUGAGGAGAGUUCAAUUUAUUGCGCUCACUGACAACAGCAGUCAAUAAAGUUGAGAGGGCAGAUUUCUUUUGUAGGUUACGAAGACCAGGGGUAUUAGGAGAGGAAACGUUAAUGACAAGAAUGUCAGCGAAGUUACCAAAGGUACGAACACCUUCAACAUAAUCCUCAAUCUCGUUACCGUUCUUAUUCUUGCCUAAAUUGAUACCAAGGAACUUGUUAGGAAUUAAACUACGAGGUACGCCAAGGACAGCGGGAUCAGUGCAAGAAGCGGGAUUUGCAUCAAACUGUUUUAAUAGUUGAGGAGAUGUCUUAGCAAUGUAUUUGCGAACGCGCUUUUGAAUCUUAGCAAGGAUGGCAUCAUGGCCGAUAGAAUUAAAACCGUAACGAUUGAUUACAGACAAAUCAGGCUUAAGGCGGAAAUAGCGUGGUUUAGGAUUACCAGGUUGAGGUUUAGGUGUGACCGAGCCAAUUUCAAGAUAGGAAAACCCGAAGUUCAACAAACCUGAGAUAGCAUCGGCUUGUUUAUCGAAACCAGCAGCUAGACCAAUGGGAUUGCAAAAUUUCUUACCCCAAACUUCAACGGCAAGAGAUGGAUCAUCAGCUACACGAUCCUUCGGUGUUAUACCCCAAGAGGCAGCGAGAAUGGCGACACGAUGAGAAAACUCAGGAGUGGUGAAAGCAUGAAAGAGAGGCAUUUCAAUGCGGCCAUGGAUAAAACUACGAACAUCGGACAUGUCGUAAAUGGCAACGCCGGCAGUAAAACUACCAAUAACACUCAAAAGCUUCCAAUGACGGAGAAAGAAAUUGCCAUUUGAAGAGCCAGAGCUGGUAGAUUGAAAACGUACAGAGGAGCGCUUUAAACCCUGAGCGACACCGCGAAACAAAGAUCGUUGAUACAUUUUAGUAUUUUUAAUAGAAUUCGGCUUAAAU